GAGAUCCUGUUAGAACAGCAGCGCGUUCAGCCGGGAUUUAAAGACAGAGUCAGAGGGUCAUUUGAGUGGGAAUGUGGACGUUUAUUCUAAAUAGUAGAACCAAGUUGUACAUUUACAGAAUAAAGAUGCUUUAUGUCCAUAAGGCGCAUUCACAAAGCGGGCAGCUCGACUGAAGGAUGGCUGCAGCUGGACCAGUACCGGUACCAGUACUGGUACCGCUCGGCUCCUUCUUUAGGUUUUGCUCAGAAAUCCAGGAUGAUCAGUCAGAGCAAUCUAAACACUAUUAAACCACCAUCAUCAUUUCCCAGCAGAUCAAUAUGAUCUCUGAUCAAUCCUCCCUCUGAAUCCUUCCUUUGGGGAUGUUCUCCAUCAGAACCAAAGGGCUCCACAAUUACGCGGCUCACCUUUAUGUAGCUACUUAUAUACGUGUGAUUGCAUACAAACCUUGAUCACAUUAAAAAUAAUCAAACCUGUUGAUUAUUUUUAAUCAGUAGGUUUGAGUUAAUCUGCUGGUCCAACCCUGUUCCUUUUCAAGUCAGAAU